CACUAUGUUAGUUAUGAUGUUAGUAGUCAAGUUAGUAGUCAAGUUAGUCACCAUGUUAG
rnacentral:sRNA from 1 species